CCACCUCUCCCCCUCAGUGUUGUCACAGGCAGAGGGAGGGACCAGCAGGGACUGGGCCUGAGAGCAGUGACAGAGGCCCAGGCAGGGCAGGUGUGGGCAGAGCUGUUGUGCAGGCACAGAGGAGCUGGAGAGAGGCCACUGAGAGCGGGCCUGGCCAUGUGGAGUGCCCUGUGCGUGGGCUUCUUGCCCAUUGUAGCUGUCACUGGUCAGGUGGCCUUGGAGCAGAACCCAAGGGAAGUGACCGUGCAAGAGGGAAAUGGAGUCACCCUCAAGUGCGAUAUGAAGAGAGGUUAUAUGAGCAGGUACUACAUGCACUGGUACCGUCAGGGCCCACGGGGUAAGGAAUGGAUUUCCACGGACAGUACUACCUAUGAAGGUUUCCAAGAUCGCUUUAAGGCAAGACUGGAGAGCUCCAAGAACAGCUAUACAUUGCAGAUCCUGGCAGCAGAGCCAGGCGAUGCAGCAACGUAUUACUGUAGAGCAGACCCACCCUGGAGCAGCUCUGCAGCAGAGUGAACCAAAAACCAGCAGCUGGGGAAGACAGAUCUCUCACCAUUUCUUUCUGGCAGCUGCUCCCCAGGGCUCUUGUCAGGCAAUGGCAGGUGCAGGAAACGUCCCUCUGGCUGGGUGCCACUAAAAGGCACUGCAGGGAGUGCUGCUGGAAGGGCUGGUGCCAUUGAUGGUGCAGGAGGAUCUGUCCUGGGAACUGCAGAGGCUGCAGUUUGGGGAAGUGCAGGUGUAGUGCACGUUACCUGGGCUCCUGUCCAGCACAGCCUCAUUUCUCCUCAGUGCCUUGGCUGCAGAGCUAUGGAAUGGUGGGGAUGUGCUGCUGGAGCUUCCAGAGGGCUGUGGUGGGUGCAGCCAGGCUGUUUAG